rnacentral:lncRNA from 1 species
GGCAGGCUGGAAACAGUAGCUCUUAACGGUCCCCCGCCCGUUGGUGGCAAGGCGGCUGGACUGGAAUCCCAGCAGGCGACAUGCGAGGAGGCGGGCAGCCCAGGAGGGUUGGACACGGCAAUGUGGACCUCGCCGCUUCCACAACGAUGCUGGCUACUGAUCGCGUGCACUUCCUUGCCAAAGAAAAGAAAUUAAUGUUAUGACUGGAUGAAGACAAUUGUGAAGAAACUGCACUUUGAGGUUGUCUAUCUCUGUAUUCUGAUGGAAAAGCGUGGAGUUUAGAAGCACUGCUCACUCCUUCAGUUUCUAACAAGUUUGAGACUAUGGUUAGGUGGUGAGGAAGGCAGGCUCAGCACCCAAGCCUUGGGGAGACGCAGAAAGGGCCCAUCCCAGGCACUCAGGUGGAGGUAAGCAUAGCCUUUGGGCCAUAAGACCUCAUGGCCACUGGGGUGCUGGUCUGGAAACAAGUCCUCAUCUUCCCAGAAAUGUCAUCUUUUGUCUGCAGCAGCUGGCUGGAGAAAGAUUUCAGAAAGGUGUGUGCCUGGGGCACCCAAAGGCAUGACCUUCCUUUCUCCUUGGCAUAGGCCUUACAACACUGAGGAAAGGCCAUGGUUUGGCAUUGGAGCCUUCAAUAGUUUUCACCCCUAUGGAUCGAAAAGAUUGUCCAAAUAGAAGCUUAUAUAGGAUGUUAAAAAGUAAACUGACAGGACUAUGAAAAUUGUCUCCCAACAGAGUACAGCUUUUUUUUUUUUUUUUUUUUUUUUUUUUUUCUGAGAAAAAACUCCAGGAUGGAGUACAGUGGUGUGAUCUUGGCUCACUGUAACCUCCACCUCCGGGGUUCAAGUGAUUCUUCUAUCUCAGCCACUCGAGUAGUUGGGACUACAAGUGCGUGCCACCAUGCUUGGCUAAUUUUUUGUAUUUUUAGUAGAGACAGCGUUUCACCAUGUUGUCCAGGAUGGUCUCAAUCUCCUGACCUUGUGAUCCGCCCGCGCCUGCCUCCCAAAGUGCUGGGAUUACAGGCGUGAGCCACUGUGCCCGGCCCAUUUUGUUAAAAAUACAGAAAUAUUGGUAAAACCAUUAUCAAAA